rnacentral:rRNA from 1 species
AGCAGCCGCGGUAAUUCCAGCUCCAAUAGCGUAUAUUAAAGUUGUUGCAGUUAAAAAGCUCGUAGUUGAAUUUCGGGACCAAUAUGUCUGUCGUGCCUUCGGUACGUACGGGUAUAAUUGGUUCCUACCUUCUGAUGAACCUUGAUGCCAUUAAUUUGGUGUCUUGGGGACUCAGGACUGUUACCUUGAAAAAAUUAGAGUGUUUAAAGCAGGCAUGCGCUUGAAUACAUUAGCAUGGAAUAAUGAAAUAGGACGUUCGAUUCUAUUUUGUUGGUUUCUAGGAUCGACGUAAUGAUUAAUAGGGAUAGUUGGGGGCAUUAGUAUUCAAUUGUCAGAGGUGAAAUUCUUGGAUUUAUUGAAGACUAACUACUGCGAAAGCAUUUGCCAAGGAUGUUUUCAUUAAUCAAGAACGAAAGUUAGGGGAUCGAAGACGAUCAGAUACCGUCGUAG